rnacentral:rRNA from 1 species
GCAUAACGCGAAGAACCUUACCAGGUCUUGACAUCCCACUGACCGUCCUAGAGAUAGGGCUUCCCUUCGGGGCAGUGGUGACAGGUGGUGCAUGGUUGUCGUCAGCUCGUGUCGUGAGAUGUUGGGUUAAGUCCCGCAACGAGCGCAACCCUUAUCUUUAGUUGCCAGCAUUCAGUUGGGCACUCUAGAGAGACUGCCGUCGACAAGACGGAGGAAGGCGGGGAUGACGUCAAAUCAUCAUGCCCCUUAUGACCUGGGCUACACACGUGCUACAAUGGCUGGUACAACGGGAUGCUAACUCGCGAGAGUACGCCAAUCCCUUAAAACCAGUCUCAGUUCGGAUUGCAGGCUGCAACUCGCCUGCAUGAAGUCGGAAUCGCUAGUAAUCGCGGAUCAGCAUGCCGCGGUGAAUACGUUCCCGGGUCUUGUACACACCGGGGUCUUGUACAC